UUUUUUUUUGUAACAAUUUGGUCCUUUAUCUUUUUUUUAUGUAACACUUUGGUCCUUGUCUUAUUUAUUUAUAAAAAAUAAAGGACCACAAUGUUACAAAUAGAAAAAGAUAAAGGACCAAACUGUUAUAAAAAAGGGACUAAAGUGUUACAAAUAAAAAAAAUAAAGGACUAAAGUGUUACAAAUAAAAGAUAAAGGACCAAAGUGUUACAAAAAAAAGAUAAAGGACCAAAGUGUUACAAAAAAAUAAGAGAAAGUACCUGUAGUGUAAUUUUGCCAAUAUAAAAAUAAAAAAAUUGAAAUUAGAAAGACCGGAACUGGAACCAAAUUAUGAACUGAAACUU
rnacentral:lncRNA from 1 species